rnacentral:ncRNA from 2 species
AUAAAAUCUAUGAAGAGAAAGAGUAAGAUGAGAACCCUGUUCCACAGAGAGUCGACAUGUGGUGGAAGUCGAUGUCCAAGGCCUAUCCGAAAAUCAUCUCUGAGAUGCAAAGCUGAAAAUGCAGUAGGCUUUGACGGGUUUCCGCCGUUACAAUGGAUCACGUAUGAAUUCGUACGUUGACUGAGUGCCGCAGCUUCUUUGAAGUGCGGAAUAUGGGUGGUAACGCGAGCACAAACUCGUCCCUGAU